UUAAGCGACUAAGCGUACACGGUGGAUGCCCUGGCAGUCAGAGGCGAUGAAGGACGUGCUAAUCUGCGAUAAGCGUCGGUGAGGUGAUAUGAACCGUUAUAACCGGCGAUUUCCGAAUGGGGAAACCCAGUGUGUUUCGACACACUAUCAUUAACUGAAUCCAUAGGUUAAUGAGGCGAACCGGGGGAACUGAAACAUCUAAGUACCCCGAGGAAAAGAAAUCAACCGAGAUUCCCCCAGUAGCGGCGAGCGAACGGGGAGGAGCCCAGAGCCUGAAUCAGUGUGUGUGUUAGUGGAAGCGUCUGGAAAGGCGCGCGAUACAGGGUGACAGCCCCGUACACAAAAAUGCACAUGCUGUGAGCUCGAUGAGUAGGGCGGGACACGUGGUAUCCUGUCUGAAUAUGGGGGGACCAUCCUCCAAGGCUAAAUACUCCUGACUGACCGAUAGUGAACCAGUACCGUGAGGGAAAGGCGAAAAGAACCCCGGCGAGGGGAGUGAAAAAGAACCUGAAACCGUGUACGUACAAGCAGUGGGAGCCUCUUAAUGGGGUGACUGCGUACCUUUUGUAUAAUGGGUCAGCGACUUAUAUUCUGUAGCAAGGUUAACCGAAUAGGGGAGCCGAAGGGAAACCGAGUCUUAACUGGGCGUUAAGUUGCAGGGUAUAGACCCGAAACCCGGUGAUCUAGCCAUGGGCAGGUUGAAGGUUGGGUAACACUAACUGGAGGACCGAACCGACUAAUGUUGAAAAAUUAGCGGAUGACUUGUGGCUGGGGGUGAAAGGCCAAUCAAACCGGGAGAUAGCUGGUUCUCCCCGAAAGCUAUUUAGGUAGCGCCUCGUGAAUUCAUCUCCGGGGGUAGAGCACUGUUUCGGCAAGGGGGUCAUCCCGACUUACCAACCCGAUGCAAACUGCGAAUACCGGAGAAUGUUAUCACGGGAGACACACGGCGGGUGCUAACGUCCGUCGUGAAGAGGGAAACAACCCAGACCGCCAGCUAAGGUCCCAAAGUCAUGGUUAAGUGGGAAACGAUGUGGGAAGGCCCAGACAGCCAGGAUGUUGGCUUAGAAGCAGCCAUCAUUUAAAGAAAGCGUAAUAGCUCACUGGUCGAGUCGGCCUGCGCGGAAGAUGUAACGGGGCUAAACCAUGCACCGAAGCUGCGGCAGCGACACUAUGUGUUGUUGGGUAGGGGAGCGUUCUGUAAGCCUGUGAAGGUGGCCUGUGAGGGUUGCUGGAGGUAUCAGAAGUGCGAAUGCUGACAUAAGUAACGAUAAAGCGGGUGAAAAGCCCGCUCGCCGGAAGACCAAGGGUUCCUGUCCAACGUUAAUCGGGGCAGGGUGAGUCGACCCCUAAGGCGAGGCCGAAAGGCGUAGUCGAUGGGAAACAGGUUAAUAUUCCUGUACUUGGUGUUACUGCGAAGGGGGGACGGAGAAGGCUAUGUUGGCCGGGCGACGGUUGUCCCGGUUUAAGCGUGUAGGCUGGUUUUCCAGGCAAAUCCGGAAAACCAAGGCUGAGGCGUGAUGACGAGGCACUACGGUGCUGAAGUGACAAAUGCCCUGCUUCCAGGAAAAGCCUCUAAGCAUCAGGUAACAUCAAAUCGUACCCCAAACCGACACAGGUGGUCAGGUAGAGAAUACCAAGGCGCUUGAGAGAACUCGGGUGAAGGAACUAGGCAAAAUGGUGCCGUAACUUCGGGAGAAGGCACGCUGAUAUGUAGGUGAAGCGACUUGCUCGUGGAGCUGAAAUCAGUCGAAGAUACCAGCUGGCUGCAACUGUUUAUUAAAAACACAGCACUGUGCAAACACGAAAGUGGACGUAUACGGUGUGACGCCUGCCCGGUGCCGGAAGGUUAAUUGAUGGGGUUAGCGGUAACGCGAAGCUCUUGAUCGAAGCCCCGGUAAACGGCGGCCGUAACUAUAACGGUCCUAAGGUAGCGAAAUUCCUUGUCGGGUAAGUUCCGACCUGCACGAAUGGCGUAAUGAUGGCCAGGCUGUCUCCACCCGAGACUCAGUGAAAUUGAACUCGCUGUGAAGAUGCAGUGUACCCGCGGCAAGACGGAAAGACCCCGUGAACCUUUACUAUAGCUUGACACUGAACAUUGAGCCUUGAUGUGUAGGAUAGGUGGGAGGCUUUGAAGUGUGGACGCCAGUCUGCAUGGAGCCGACCUUGAAAUACCACCCUUUAAUGUUUGAUGUUCUAACGUUGGCCCCUAAUCGGGGUUGCGGACAGUGUCUGGUGGGUAGUUUGACUGGGGCGGUCUCCUCCUAAAGAGUAACGGAGGAGCACGAAGGUUGGCUAAUCCUGGUCGGACAUCAGGAGGUUAGUGCAAUGGCAUAAGCCAGCUUGACUGCGAGCG
rnacentral:rRNA from 1 species